rnacentral:lncRNA from 1 species
CCCGUGUUUAAGUGUAUUUGAAAGAGAAAUAUAUCUGGUUAAACGAUGUAUAAAGGAGAAAUAUAUCUGGUUAAACGAUGUAUAAAGGAGGAAAAAUUGUAGAUAUUGCAUUACGAUGCUUUCUACCUAAUAGCACGUGGAUAUGUUUACAUAGUUAGACUUGACCCAGUAUGACCCGUACCUUGUAGGUCACCGCCGUCGUUUAAACACUAGACUACAGUCGUGUACAAGACAAUAAAAUGCUUAGGCCUGUACUAUUUGUGUGAAGUAAAUGUGUUUGUUCUGUACAUUUAAAUUGUUUUACCUGAUAGCAAGGACGUAUAUCUAUCCGUUUCCUUCUCAAUUCACUUUGUCAAAUUCUUCGAGAUUCUUCAAAACAUACGUAUUACUGCGCCCGGAAGUGAAAAAAAUAUGAGAAAUCCUCUUAAAAUAAUGCUAUUUUCAAUUUUGUGGAAUCCAUUUUGUUAUAUUUAUUAUAAAAAGAUAAAAAAAAAUUACCGAUUAAUUAUGAAUUUGCAUAUCAUUAUACGGAACGUUUAUGGACUAUUUUUCCAUAGCUGUAAGUCGGUCAUUUUGGCGGGAAAUCAUGUACACAUACACACGUAGAUUGGCUGGUACCCGAUCGUAAUGUUACACAUCACAAAUAUCAAAUAGCUAAUACCCGGAACGUAGUACCGGGAACCAGGAUAAUACGUAGACAACAUACAUAACUAAUACCGAAAUUGAAAACGCUUUACGGUUUCUCGUUCAUAAACCGAAUUCCGCUUUGAAUUAUAGAAGAUGCAAUAUGAAUCAUGUUCAGUCGACU